UACGGGGGGGGGGCAAGCGUUGUUCGGAAUUACUGGGCGUAAAGGGCUCGUAGGCGGCCAACUAAGUCAGACGUGAAAUCCCUCGGCUUAACCGGGGAACUGCGUCUGAUACUGGAUGGCUUGAGAUUGGGAGAGGGAUGCGGAAUUCCAGGUGUAGCGGUGAAAUGCGUAGAUAUCUGGAGGAACACCGGUGGCGAAGGCGGCAUCCUGGACCAACACUGACGCUGAGGAGCGAAAGCCAGGGGAGCAAACGGG
rnacentral:rRNA from 1 species